rnacentral:tRNA from 1 species
GACCCACUAGCUCAUCUGGCAGAGCACAACACUUUUAAUGUUGGGGUACCGCGUUCGAGUCGCGGGUGGGUCACCA